ACAGUGUGUAAUGUUAGCUUUAGCCACGGAACACCUUCAAACUCAUUCAGAAUAAAAUGUAAAACAUCCAAAUAAAUACUAUACUUACUGCAAUUAUACAUGCUGCAUGACGAAUCAGGCACGUGCACAGUUAGGGCUCAACCUGUGCAGAUCAUAUGCCCUUUUUGUCCUUACACUCCAAAGUGCCCUUUUUUUGGAGGUGUUUUAUUUUAUUUAUUCAUUUUCUUCAAUAAAUCAAUGCUAUUCGUCACCCUUUAAGCAUGUCUGACUGAUUUACAAAUAUAUUUAGCCUAAUAAAAGGUAUUAAAAAGAGCUUGUGACAAAAUCGUUUUGGUUCCGCUCAAACUGUCAGUCAAACCUCUUAACUCCGCCCCCUGAGUGCCGCGAACUGAAGUUCCACUUCCACAGCAGAGCAGCUGAACGUCUUGCAACGUGUGUUUGGAGCAGAAGGCCACAGAGAGAAGACCAGGCCCCUGUUCCUGCUGAACUGAGCCAGCUGCAGCGAUCCACUGAUUAUCAGCACAGCAGGCACAGGAGACAAGCCCACUGAUGGAGAGCAGACAGAGAGAGAGAGACCAGCACACUGAGGCCCACACCCAUGUUAUCAGUCCAGCACAGACACACUCCACACGGCAGCACCGCCUGCAGCCGUUGACACGCGAGGGACCCAGACGGCAGGACGCAAAGCAGAGAGGCCCCGCUGAUGGCUCUGCAGAUGGACAAACUGACACGGGCGUUUCACCCCCAGCAGGAAACACAGGAGGGAGUUACACAGGAAGUACACAGAUCAGAGCAGGGAGGAGACUGGAAACAUAUACACAUAUCAUCCUAUUUUUCCACAUCAUAUGGAUUUUCCUACAUACAAAAUGAUCUGAAACCCUAACUAUGUUUAGGGUUUAAGUUCCUACUAGUCAACCCUAACUAUGACUCAGGUUAACCAUAACUUGCAUUAAAUUAUUCCAAAAUGAAAAUCCAUCCUGCAACGUUUCACUUCAGCUUUAUUCACAAGUAAUCCCGAGCAGAAAACAUCUACACACGGCGGUGUCCUGUUACGCCGCCCCCCUCGUAGCUGUGUGACCUCUAGCCAGCAUGUUGAAUCAAUUACACCAAAUUCCCGACCACUUGCGACAUGACUUCCCCCUCCAAAAACAUGUUUAGUGAGUGUAACAACAUGCAGUUUUAACACAUUGUAUGGGCCGUACACAUGAAAGCCAAGAUAAAACAUGAGAGGAUAUGGACUACAAUAAAUGAUACACUUUCAAUAUAAAGAAUUCUAAUAACUAUAAUGUGACUGUAAUGCAUAAUGGUGGAAAUCUAUGGUGGUCAGAUUUUUAACCAUUCAGGGUGUAAUGUUACACCCAAACCACCAUGGGGGUGAUAACCUUUGACCUUUCCUCACAAUCAGACCCGCAAUGAAUCUGUGAAUGUCCUCAGAUUCUGUCAUCUAUAAAGUUCUACACAUCUUCUGCCCUUUGUUUAUUUUAACAUUUUAACUGGAUGAGGGCCAAGCAAUAAUAAAAAAAUAAAACCAUCUCGAGAUUAAAGUUAG